UCCAGACUCCUACGGGAGGCAGCAGUGGGGAAUAUUGCACAAUGGGGGGAACCCUGAUGCAGCGACGCCGCGUGAGUGAAGAAGUAUUUCGGUAUGUAAAGCUCUCUCAGCAGGGAAGAAAAUGACGGUACCUGACUAAGAAGCCCCGGCUAACUACGUGCCAGCAGCCGCGGUAAUACGUAGGGGGCAAGCGUUAUCCGGAUUUACUGGGUGUAAAGGGAGCGUAGACGGCCAUGCAAGCCAGGGGUGAAAGCCCGGGGCCCAACCCCGGGACUGCCCUUGGAACUGCAUGGCUGGAGUGCGGGAGGGGCAGGCGGAAUUCCUGGUGUAGCGGUGAAAUGCGUAGAUAUCAGGAGGAACACCGGCGGCGAAGGCGGCCUGCUGGACCGCGACUGACGUUGAGGCUCGAAAGCGUGGGGAGCGAGCAGGAUUAGAUACCCCUGUACA
rnacentral:rRNA from 1 species